UACGCCGGGGGCUAGCGUUGCUCGGAAUCACUGGGCGUAAAGGGUGCGUAGGCGGGUCUUUAAGUCAGGGGUGAAAUCCUGGAGCUCAACUCCAGAACUGCCUUUGAUACUGAAGAUCUUGAGUUCGGGAGAGGUGAGUGGAACUGCGAGUGUAGAGGUGAAAUUCGUAGAUAUUCGCAAGAACACCAGUGGCGAAGGCGGCUCACUGGCCCGAUACUGACGCUGAGGCACGAAAGCGUGGGGAGCAAACAGG
rnacentral:rRNA from 1 species